ensembl:lncRNA
GAGCCCUGGGAUGGUUGGGUUGGAAGGGUCCUUAGAACCACAUACUGGGUUUGGGGCGGAAGGUCCUUGAAGAUCACAGAGCCCUGGGAUGGUUGUGUUGGAAAAGUCCUUAAAGAUCACAGAACCACGGAAUGGGUUGGAAGGGUCCUUGAAGACCACAGAACCAUGGAAUGGAUUGGGAGGGUCCUUGAAGACCACAGAACCUUGGAAUGCGUUGGGAGGAUCCUUAAAGAUCACAGAACCAUAGAAUGGGUUGGGAGGAUCCUUGAAGACCACAGAACCAUAGAACGGGUUGGGAGGGUCCUUGAAGACCACAGAACCACCGAAUGGGUUGGUAGGGUCCUUAAAGGUCACAGAACCAUAGAACGGGUUGGGAGGGUCCUUAAAGAUCACAGAACCAUAGAACGGGUUGGGAGGGUCCUUGAAGAUCACAGAACCACCGAAUGGGUUGGUAGGGUCCUUAAAGAUCACAGAACCAUAG